AUCCCAACCCAUUUUGUAUACAGCCCCACUAUUUGACCCAGAUAAAUCGGACCAAUUGCCCAACGUUAGACCCAACCCAUUUUGUGUUUUUACUCUUCUUUUCUUUUUGCAAAAUUUGGUCCAAGAAACGCGUAGUAGUACACGCGUUUUCUUCUUCUCCCUCAACGCCCCAAACAAGAAUUUUCAUGUGAAUUCUAAUGGGGUGAGGUUCAAUCGCGCGAGUUCGUCUCUCUGCCUUCUGCAAUUGCGCCUUGCUCUCUUCUUUCUCUUUUUCCGAUUCGUACAAUCUUCAGGGAAAGGCAACCUGUACAAUGUGCAGACCAAAUGGAACGAUCUCCGCAAUUUGGGCGUCCUUGGCUCAAGAUCGGACGACAUUCCUUCAAGUUCCAUUGAGCUAGUUCUCGGAGUUACAUCCCGGUGUUGGAAUCUCCUUCAAGCUCGUCAUUGUACAACCGCUGCCCACAAGAAGGUAAAAUUCCCUUCUUAGCCUUCUGUUUUGUUCACAGUUCUUCUUACUAAUUUUGUGUAGUUGCUCUUAAGUAUGCCUGAUAUUUGUUGUUGUAACUUGUUUAUAGAUAGAAGUUUUUUCCCAUUCUAGCUAGUGUGAGUCUCUUUAUCGUAAACUGUUGUUGUCUUAAGUUUAUUCUUGUUAAAUGUUUAAUAUUUGAAGGCCUGAGUUCAUACACUUGCGUGGCUUCGGUUUUUUGGCAUAUUUUCUGCCUAAUGAAUCUCGAAUCGAUCUUAAUAGCGACUUUAUCUAUUGGUUGCUUCUCUAUUGAUUUAAACAAUCUCGUUAAAGUUAUAUCCCGAAUCUUUUUUUGAAUAUUUAUUUGAAUCGAUGUCUUAGUUCAAAUUAAAAUGAUGUUGUUGACUCGCCGUCAUGUUUUUUUUCUUCCGAAUCAGUUUUUUUGUUGUUAAAAGCGUAUUAGUUUGGUAGAGUAUCGUUACUUACCGCUUGGUGACACUGGCUUUGUUUUGAUCUGAUCAUGAGCAAUUCAAUGGCUUAUCAAUUGAUUUUGUUCAUUUAUGUUCAUGCUUUAUAUUGUAAUCCAUUCAAGCUCGCGUCGUGUUUGUUUGCUUUGCCUUUACAUAUUGCCCUUGCCCUAAGUAUCAUUAUCUCUUUCAUGACUUUUUUUGUUAUCUUAUUGUCGAAUACGGUUAGGGGUCCGUCUCUUUAGUUAAUUUUAAGUCUCAUCAAUGUAGUAGUUCGAUUUCUUUCCAAAAAGUCAUUUACAUGGAUAUAUCUUGUCCCUUAGUUCGGUUAACUAUUUUCAUUUGGUCGUAUGUUAAGUGUAUGGUGUCUCUAUGCUAUUUUUUAUCUUAAAUUUUGGAAUUAUUUGUUAGGUUAAUAGCUUGGUUUCAAUUUUAGCUCGUGUUAAUCUACUGGAAUUUGCUGCCUGUUCUGUUUUUAUUUAUUUAUAUAAAUUCCUCUCGGUCCUCUAUUUGAACUUCACCAGCCCAGUUAACGAGGGGAGAGUGUGAUUGUCAUAGGCAUGUUCAAAGUUUUUUUUCUUUCCUUUGUUCAUUAGGAAAUCACAUACUUACUGUAACUAGUUUCAUUAGCAUAAUUAAUUGAUCUUUUGUCUAGUGAAGACAUAGCUUAAAUGUAGAUUCAGUUGAGCAUUUGUGAUUAAGAUUAGGUUUUCCUAUUUUUGUUUCUUUUUAUGUCAUCACUGCUUCUGUCCUUUACAAUUUCCUUCAAUAAUUAAUUAUUGUCCCCACAAGUAAAUAUAUCUAAUGUUUAUCAAAUUAAUUGUGAGCAACGUUCAAGUUUAGGCGGAUUUACUUUUUAUGUAUGAAAUUGAACUUUUGUCUUGCUCUUAGCUUGUUCAUCGAUUUUUAUUAUGUUUUGCCUUAGCAAGUUUAAAUAAUCUGAUUAAUCCAUUACGUGUCGUUAUUUUAGAGCUUAAGCUCGGUUUUUCACCUUUCAUUUAAUGAGUCUGGUUAGGCAGCAUGUUCCUCACGAGUCAUGUGCCCGUAUUUUCUUCGAUCUUCUUUAUAUUGAUGGCCUAGUUUAGAUUUUAUUUACUUCAUGUAACGAAUUAGGUAAGUUUGUCUCGAGAUUAUUUGGUCUAUUUCAGUUUAAUUGAAUCAUGUUCUAUUUGUUUCGUUCCCUUUUGCCUCAAAAUGCUAAUCCUUAUAUUCUUUCGUUGCAUGUGAAAUUCGCCGGAUUUCGUCGUGAGUUUUGUCCCUUUACUCGCAUUUUGGAAAGAGUCACAAAGGCCCCUAUUUUAAUUGAGUCUCCCAACCGUAAAACCAAAGGAAAGAUCCUGAAAUUCGAAGUAUGGAAGAAAGUCGAAGAAGCCAUAUUGGAAGACUCCAAUUUUUUUUUUCCGAAUUUAUAUUUUAUUUGUAAUGGGCAUAAGCCCUUGUCGUCUUUUACCUCUCUGUAUUUAUUUUGUAUAUUAUAUGCUUAGUCUAGGACAGGUACAUGUGAAGUGGGUCGAAAACCCAAACAAAAUGGGUUAAAAACCUAAAAGACAGGUAGGUCCAAAUCCGGUCAAGGCGAACAGAACGCGGAAAUGGACCCGAAUCACUCUUUCCCUUCUCUGUUAUUUCUUGCUUAUUUAUUACUUUGUGUUUUAGUUA